UACGGAGGGUGCAAGCGUUAAUCGGAAUUACUGGGCGUAAAGGGCACGCAGGUGGCUUGGCAAGUCGGAUGUGAAAGCCCCGGGCUUAACCUGGGAAUUGCAUUCGAUACUGCCGAGCUAGAGUAUGGGAGAGGAAAGCGGAAUUCCCGGUGUAGCGGUGAAAUGCGUAGAUAUCGGGAGGAACAUCAGUGGCGAAGGCGGCUUUCUGGCCUAAUACUGACACUCAUGUGCGAAAGCGUGGGGAGCAAACAGG
rnacentral:misc_RNA from 1 species